rnacentral:rRNA from 1 species
UACGGAGGGUGCGAGCGUUGUCCGGAUUUAUUGGGUUUAAAGGGUGCGUAGGUGGCUUGUUAAGUCAGUGGUGAAAUACAGCCGCUCAACGGUUGAGGUGCCAUUGAUACUGACAAGCUUGAAACAAGUGGAGGUUGCCGGAAUGGAUGGUGUAGCGGUGAAAUGCAUAGAUAUCAUCCAGAACACCGAUUGCGAAGGCAGGUGACUACGUUUGAUUUGACGCUGAGGCACGAAGGCUAGGGGAGCAAACGGG